GAAGUGGCAACGAAGCAAUCCUAACUAAAUGGCUCUGAACCGUUGGUUUCUUCUAGUAGCGGUCUUUUACGCAAGACAAUGGAUUACUGCCACAUGCGACGAGCAAAAUUUUACAGAGGAGUAUGAUUACGAAGAUUCGUGGUGCGGGUAUAAUAUACUGUUAACAUCAGGGGGGCCG